rnacentral:guide_RNA from 1 species
AUAUAAAACCAACAAAGAGAUGUUGCUUGUGAAUUGAUAAAUUUGUAU